UUUUGUACCAGAAUGGGAAUUCCAGUGUCUAACGAUAUUUAGUCAUUACGUAAUGACGGUUGGAGUUUCGUAAUGUACAGAUUCAUUACAUUUUGAAAUGUUUACAAUUUCACGAGCAUUAAGACGACAUGGAUACAGUUUGGACGUGUGCGACAUGUACUUAUGAUAACUGUGAUGGCGAUCAUGACUGUUUCAUGUGUUACACACCUCGCGGAACACAAAAUACUCCAUACCAGAGUCAAGUUUGGACGUGUUCAGAAUGUACUUAUGAAAACUGUGACGGUGAUAGAGAGUGCUUGGUGUGCGAUACACUACGCGGAACGCAAGUUAUGUUAUAUAGGAGCGAAG